AGUCAACAGAAUGUCACAGUGAAGUAAGACACAGGAGUGUGGAGUCAUAAAGGAUGCUAUGACAUCCAUUCACUUAUAGCACACACACGUACACACAUGUCCCUUCAGACUCACAGACUCAUUGUGUAUGAAGACCCAUCAGUUAUCCGAGUCUUCAAACUCCUGGCAACAAAGAGCCUAGAGGUACCUUUAAGAUGACUUCAGUCUUAGCCACCAGGUGACUGAGACUACAGAGAUACCCUGAGCCAGAACUCACCUGGGCCACACUCAAAUUCCCAACCCACAGAGACCAGAAGAGCAGAAGGGGCUAUUGCUGUUUCAAGCCUCUGAGUUUUUGUUUUUAAGCCCCUGAGUUUUGGGGUACUUUCUUGAAGAGCACCAGAUACUCAAUACAAGUGGGGAGUGAACAGCACAUAGCUUCCGACUACACCCAGCCAAAGCUCAAAUUGUACAGCCUGAGAAACUGAGGCUCAAAGAAGGGAAAAGGAUUACCCGAGACUGGAGACCUAAUUCCAACUGCCUGUGGGCUCCCGACAUCCCCAGGGUUGAAUCUUGACUCCACUUCUCACUGUCUGCCACUGUCCCCCGAGGAGCGUGAGCAACAUUGGCAGGCCUGGCUGGGACACACCAGAGCUCUUGGCUGCGAACAUACCUUACAUCUGUCUGGGUAGAAAUUUGCAUUCUGCAACCGGGAGGCCCUGGUUCCAAGUAUGUCAAAUGUAAUUAAUUAGAGCAAACCUGCAACUGUUUUCAAACGCCGUAUUAAAGGCUUUGUGCACACAGAACACA